rnacentral:rRNA from 1 species
UACGUAGGGGGCAAGCGUUGUCCGGAUUUAUUGGGCGUAAAGAGCGUGUAGGCGGUUUGGUAGGUCCGCUGUGAAAACUCGAGGCUCAACCUCGAGACGCCGGUGGAAACCAUCAGACUAGAGUCCGGAAGAGGAGAGUGGAAUUCCUGGUGUAGCGGUGAAAUGACGCAGAUAUCAGGAAGAACACCCGUGGCUAAGGCGGCUCACUGGCUCGUAACUGACGCUCAUGCACGACAGCGUGGGGAUCAAACAGG